CUCGAAUCUAUCCAGCGAUCGCCACAAAGUUGAUCUUCAUCAAGAGUUGAUGUCUCUGACAAAAGGUCCUGUUCUGCGAAAGUGAAAGUAAGGAGCAGAGAGAAAGGCUCCAAGCUUCAAGCUUAAAGAGAUAAAUGGUUAUGAGAAGCCAGAACAUCCAAAGAGACAACUGAAGACAUUUGAAAUUAUGGCUCAACAUAAGAUUAUAUUACACUGCCUGUUGCUGUUGCUCGUCUGUCAACGUGCAGAAGUUGAAGUUGGUCGGCCACAUAGUUCAAAUCCUCCUCUUUUGGCAGAAGAUACUCCCUUAACAGAAGACGGUCAUAUUGAAAUCCAUCUCAACAGAUUGAAAAGAAAUGAAACUGGGACAACACCAAGAACAGAAGAACAAUGACUAAGGAGAUGCUGAUGCUGAGAUCGAUGCGUGGAUUGAUGAGAAUGGACAAAAUCAGAAACAAACACGUCAGAAGAUCAGGGAAGAUUGUGGGAGCAUCAAGAGAAGUAGCUGAUAAGAAUUUGUUGUGGAGAGAGAGAGGAA